rnacentral:rRNA from 1 species
UGGCUUGGAAGCAGCCAUUCAUUUAAAGAGUGCGUAACAGCUCACUAGUCGAGCGGUCCUGCAUGGAUAAUACGCGGGCAUAAGCAUAUAACCGAAGCUAUGGGAUUGUAGAUGAUACAAUCGGUAGGAGAGCAUUCCAUUCAGCAUAGAAGCAGUACCGUGAGGUAUUGUGGAGCGGAUGGAAAAGCAAAUGUAGGCAUAAGUAACGAUAAUGGGGGCGAGAACCCCCCACGCCGCAAGACCAAGGAUUCCCCGGCAAUGUCAAUCAGCCGGGGGUCAGCCGGCCUCUAAGGCUCACCCGAAAGGGGAUGCCGACGAGAAACGGGUUAACAUUCCCGUGCUUCUCGUCACCGUGACGCGGUGACGGGGUGAUGAAUGGACCGCGCGCUGACGGAAUAGCGCGUUGAAGGCCGUACCCUAUGACGGUGGUAGUCAAGCACGCCACCCGAGGCGAAAGUCGAUAGUACCUCGAGGCCUCGGCCGAGGGGAUAGCGUCCAGGCAAUUUACCCCCUAGAAAACCCGCUAAACUUCAAGUGACGAGGAACCGUACUGUAAACGGACACACGUGGUCGGGUAGAACAUACCAAGGCGCUCGAGUGAUUCAUGGUCAAGGAACUAGGCAAAAUAGUCCUGUAACUUCGGGAAAAAGGACGCUCUAGUGAUAGAGCCGCAGAGUAAUGGCCCAGGCGACUGUUUACCAAAAACACAUGGCUAUGCCAAAUCGAAAGAUGACGUAUAUGGCCUGACACCUGCCCGGUGCCGGAAGGUUAAGAGGAGAGCUCAUCGGAAACGAGAAGGUUUGAAUUGAAGCCCCGGUAAACGGCGGCCGUAACUAUAACGGUCCUAAGGUAGCGAAAUUCCUUGUCGGGUAAGUUCCGACCUGCACGAAUGGUGUAACGAUCUGGGCACUGUCUCGACCAUGAGCUCGGUGAAAUUGUAGUUCCGGUGAAGAUGCCGGGUACCCGCGACGGGACGGAAAGACCCCGUGAACCUUUACUGCAGCUUCGCGUUGUUCCCGGGCACGGGACGUGUAGGAUAGGUCGGAGGCAUUGAAUCGGUUUCGCCAGGAAUCGAGGAGCCAUCGUUGAAAUACGACCCUUCUCUUGUCUGGGAUCUAACCCUUGUAAUAGGGGACACCGCGUGGUGGGUAGUUUGACUGGGGUGGUCGCCUCCAAAAGCGUAACGGAGGCUUCCAAAGGUACCCUCGGGUUGGUUGGUAAUCAACCUUAGAGUGCAAUGGCACAAGGGUGCUUGACCGGGAGACCAACGAGUCGAUCGGGUGCGAAAGCAGGGCAUAGUGAUCCGGUGAUCCCGCGUGGAAGGGUCAUCGCUCAAAGGAUAAAAGGUACUCCGGGGAUAACAGGCUGAUCGCCCCCAAGAGCUCAUAUCGACGGGGCGGUUUGGCACCUCGAUGUCGGCUCGUC